GACGAACGCUGGCGGCGUGCUUAACACAUGCAAGUCGAACGCUGAAGCUUGGGUGCUUGCAUCUGGGUGGAUGAGUGGCGAACGGGUGAGUAAUACGUGAGUAACCUGCCCUUGACUCUGGGAUAAGCCUGGGAAACUGGGUCUAAUACUGGAUACUACAUUCUCUCGCAUGGGGGUGUGUGGAAAGGGUUUUACUGGUUUUGGAUGGGCCCACGGCCUAUCAGCUUGUUGGUGGGGUAAUGGCCUACCAAGGCGACGACGGGUAGCCGGCCUGAGAGGGUGACCGGCCACACUGGGACUGAGACACGGCCCAGACUCCUACGGGAGGCAGCAGUGGGGAAUAUUGCACAAUGGGCGAAAGCCUGAUGCAGCGACGCCGCGUGAGGGAUGACGGCCUUCGGGUUGUAAACCUCUUUCAGCACGGAAGAAGCGAAAGUGACGGUACGUGCAGAAGAAGCGCCGGCUAACUACGUGCCAGCAGCCGCCGUAA
rnacentral:rRNA from 1 species